CGAACGCUGGCGGCGUGCUUAACACAUGCAAGUCGAACGGAAAGGCCCUGCUUUUGUGGGGUGCUCGAGUGGCGAACGGGUGAGUAACACGUGAGUAACCUGCCCUUGACUUUGGGAUAACUUCAGGAAACUGGGGCUAAUACCGGAUAGGAGCUCCUGCUGCAUGGUGGGGGUUGGAAAGUUUCGGCGGUUGGGGAUGGACUCGCGGCUUAUCAGCUUGUUGGUGGGGUAGUGGCUUACCAAGGCUUUGACGGGUAGCCGGCCUGAGAGGGUGACCGGCCACAUUGGGACUGAGAUACGGCCCAGACUCCUACGGGAGGCAGCAGUGGGGAAUAUUGCACAAUGGGCGGAAGCCUGAUGCAGCAACGCCGCGUGCGGGAUGACGGCCUUCGGGUUGUAAACCGCUUUCGCCUGUGACGAAGCGUGAGUGACGGUAAUGGGUAAAGAAGCACCGGCUAACUACG
rnacentral:rRNA from 1 species